AGAGCACUUCCUGCCAAUGCCAUCUUAAAUCAGUUCCAGCCUGCAGCGGGUGGCUACUUUGUGCCAGCAGUCCCACAGGCUCAGGGAAGGCCUCCAUAUUAUACACCUAACCAGUUAGCACAGAUGAGGCCUAAUCCACGCUGGCAGCAAGGUGGGAGACCUCAAGGCUUCCAAGGAAUGCCAAGUGCUAUACGCCAGUCUGGGCCUCGUCCAACUCUUCGCCAUCUGGCUCCAACUGGUAAUGCUCCGGCCUCUCGUGGCCUCCCUACUACCACUCAGAGAGUCGGUGAGCAAACUGGCCUUUAGAAGUGUGGCCUGGGGAGGAGGGAGUCAGGAUGACUAGGCUCUGUCCUGGGUUGGUCAGUUUGUUGGGCUCGAAUUUAUCGAGUCCUGGUUCUGUAAUCUUAGCUGUGUGCUUAGGUGGCCACUUCAGGAGCAGAGAAACAGUAUGAGUUCUAGGUGUGUCAGUUGCUUUU
rnacentral:lncRNA from 1 species